GACGAACGCUGGCGGCGUGCUUAACACAUGCAAGUCGAACGGGGAUCCCGUCUUCGGGUGGGGUUCUAGUGGCGAACGGGUGAGUAACACGUGGGCAACCUGCCCUCAGCUCUGGGUAACUCCGGGAAACCGGGGCUAAUACCGGAUAUGACCAUCUUCCGCAUGGUGGGUGGUGGAAAGUUUUUCGGCUGGGGAUGGGCCCGCGGGCUAUCAGCUUGUUGGUGGGGUGAUGGCCUACCAAGGCGGCGACGGGUGGCCGGCCUGAGAGGGUGGCCGGCCACGCGAGGCAUGAGACACGGCCCAGGCUCCUACGGGAGGCAGCAGGGGGGAAUAUUGCGCAGUGGGCGGAAGCCUGACGCAGCGACGCCGCGUGAGGGACGAAGGCCUUCGGGUUGUAAAGCUCUUUUACCCGGGAUGAUAAUGACAGUACCGGGAGAAGAAGCCCCGGCUAACUCCGUGCCAGCCGCCGCGGUAACAC
rnacentral:rRNA from 1 species